AACGAACGCUGGCGGCAGGCCUAACACAUGCAAGUCGAGCGAGGACUUCGGUCCUAGCGGCGGACGGGUGAGUAACGCGUGGGAACGUGCCCUUUGCUUCGGAAUAGCCCUGGGAAACUGGGAGUAAUACCGGAUGAGCCCUUUGGGGGAAAGAUUUAUCGGCGAAGGAUCGGCCCGCGUUGGAUUAGGUAGUUGGUGGGGUAAUGGCCUACCAAGCCGACGAUCCAUAGCUGGUUGGAGAGGAUGAUCAGCCACACUGGGACUGAGACACGGCCCAGACUCCUACGGGAGGCAGCAGUGGGGAAUCUUAGACAAUGGGGGAAACCCUGAUCUAGCCAUGCCGCGUGAGCGAUGAAGGCCUUAGGGUUGUAAAGCUCUUUCAGCUGGGAAGAUAAUGACGGUACCAGCAGAAGAAGCCCCGGCUAACUCCGUG
rnacentral:rRNA from 1 species